UACGUAGGGGGCGAGCGUUGUCCGGAUUUAUUGGGCGUAAAGAGCGUGUAGGCGGUUCGGUAAGUCUGUCGUGAAAUCCUGAGGCUCAACCUCGGGCGUGCGAUGGAUACUGCCGGGCUAGAGGGUGGUAGAGGCGAGUGGAAUUCCCGGUGUAGCGGUGAAAUGCGCAGAUAUCAGGAGGAACACCGGUGGCGAAGGCGGAUCUCUGGGCCGUAACUGACGCUGAGGAGCGAAAGCAUGGGGAGCGAACAGG
rnacentral:rRNA from 1 species